CCAUGAUUUGGGAGAAUGGGAAGAAAGGAUUCUUGGGUGCCUAGGAGCUGCUGGAAGAAGCUGCAUUUGCUGGGCAUGAGAUGCACAGAAAGCCCACAAUAAAAAACACAGUGCAAGUGCUUGGAGAAAAAUAGUUGUCAAGGCAAGCAGUUAUCAGAAUUACUUUGGGGCCAAGGGGUGAUGCAGAAGUCAUGCAGCAGCCAGGCAGUGCAACCCCACCAGAUCCUCCUUGGAAGAGCUCUGCAGGGAUGUGUUGGACUAGAUGAUCUUCAGAGAUCCCUUCCAACCCCUAUCAUUCUGCAAUGUGUCUUCACCAGGAUGGAUCCUGCUGAUGUGCCUGUCACAGUUCCUGCUGUGAGGCUCUGGCUGAACUCAUCUCUUUGGAACAAACCCCAAUAUUCACCUGCUCUCUGGGCUGUUGGUUUUCUUACUGCCUCACCUGCUCCUGUUGCUUGAGAAGAUCUGAGAAUAUCUGGGUCUUGAAAAUGAAACUCUGUUGGGCUUU